rnacentral:rRNA from 1 species
UCCUGGCUCAGAACGAACGUUAGCGGCGCGCCUAACACAUGCAAGUCGAGCGAGAAGGAAGCAAUUCCUGUAAAGCGGCGCACGGGUGAGUAACACGUAGGUAAUCUACCUCGAAGUGGUGGAUAACCUUCCGAAAGGAGGGCUAAUACAGCAUGAGACCACGGUUUCGAAAGAGAUUGAGGUCAAAGCGGGCCACUAUACAUAAGCUCGCGCUUCGAGAUGAGCCUGCGGCCCAUCAUGGUAGUUGGUAGGGUAAUGGCCUACCAAGCCGAAGACGGGUAGCUGGUCUGAGAGGAUGAUCAGCCACACUGGAACUGAGACACGGUCCAGACUCCUACGGGAGGCAGCAGUGGGGAAUCUUGCGCAAUGGGCGAAAGCCUGACGCAGCGACGCCGCGUGAGUGAUGAAGGCCUCGG